ensembl:misc_RNA 7SK 7SK RNA
GGAUGUGAGGGCAAUCUGACUGUGACAUCUGUCACCCCACUGCUGGCCAGAGUAGAUUUGGCUGACACAGCUGACUCGGCAGGUGGUGCCUUCUUCCCUCAUGACUCCAUGUGCUUUUCUCCUAAAGCUGUGUGCUGCAAAGAAGGCAGACCACCCCAGAUGGACAAGGACAGUUUCCUGUGUCAAGGGUAUCUGAGUAACUGCUAGAGCCUGCUAGGCCCUCCAAACAAGCUCCCAAGAAACAACCACCUGACUGGCUUAGCACAGUUGUGGAUGUGACUGAAUGAUGAAGUUAGAACCUCUCACU